UACGUAGGGUGCGAGCGUUAAUCGGAAUUACUGGGCGUAAAGCGUGCGCAGGCGGUUCGUUGUGUCCGUCGUGAAAGCCCCGGGCUUAACCUGGGAACUGCGAUGGAAACUAGCGAGCUGGAGUGUGGCAGAGGGGGGUGGAAUUCCGCGUGUAGCAGUGAAAUGCUUAGAUAUGACAUAGAACACCAAUUGCGAAGGCAGCUUACUACGCGGUCAUUGACGCUGAGGCACGAAAGCGUGGGGAGCAAACAGG
rnacentral:rRNA from 1 species